rnacentral:rRNA from 1 species
UAGUCUGGUGCCAGCAGCCGCGGUAAUUCCAGCUCCAAUAGCGUAUAUUAAAGUUGUUGCAGUUAAAACGCUCGUAGUCGGAUUUCGGGGCAGGUUUGCCGGUCUGCCGAUGGGUAUGCACUGGUAGAACUGUCCUUCCUUCCGGAGACGGCGCCUACUCUUAACUGAGCGGGUGUCGGAGACGGAUCGUUUACUUUGAAAAAAUCAGAGUGUUUCAAGCAGGCAGCUCGCUUUUGCAUGGAUUAGCAUGGGAUAAUGAAAUAGGACUUUGGUGCUAUUUUGUUGGUUUCGAACACCGAAGUAAUGAUUAACAGGGACAGUCAGGGGCACUCGUAUUCCGCCGAGAGAGGUGAAAUUCUUAGACCAGCGGAAGACGAACCACUGCGAAAGCAUUUGCCAGGGAUGUUUUCACUGAUCAAGAACGAAAGUUAGGGGAUCGAAGAUGAUCAGAUACCGUCGUAGUCUUAACCAUAAACCAUGCCGACUAGGGAUUGGAGGAUGUUCCUAUGUGACUCCUUCAGCACCUUUCGGGAAACUAAAGUCUUUGGGUUCCGGGGGGAGUAUGGUCGCAAGGCUGAAACUUAAAGGAAUUGACGGAAGGGCACCACCAGGAGUGGAGCCUGCGGCUUAAUUUGACUCAACACGGGGAAACUUACCAGGUCCAGACAUUGUGAGGAUUGACAGAUUGAGAGCUCUUUCUUGAUUCGAUGGGUGGUGGUGCAUGGCCGUUCUU